rnacentral:rRNA from 1 species
GUCGAACGGGCGUAGCGAUACGUCAGUGGCAGACGGGUGAGUAACGCGUGGGAACGUACCUUUUGGUUCGGAACAACUGAGGGAAACUUCAGCUAAUACCGGAUAAGCCCUUACGGGGAAAGAUUUAUCGCCGAAAGAUCGGCCCGCGUCUGAUUAGCUAGUUGGUGAGGUAAUGGCUCACCAAGGCGACGAUCAGUAGCUGGUCUGAGAGGAUGAUCAGCCACAUUGGGACUGAGACACGGCCCAAACUCCUACGGGAGGCAGCAGUGGGGAAUAUUGGACAAUGGGGGAAACCCUGAUCCAGCCAUGCCGCGUGAGUGAUGAAGGCCCUAGGGUUGUAAAGCUCUUUUGUGCGGGAAGAUAAUGACGGUACCGCAAGAAUAAGCCCCGGCUAACUUCGUGCCAGCAGCCGCGGUAAUACGAAGGGGGCUAGCGUUGCUCGGAAUCACUGGGCGUAAAGGGUGCGUAGGCGGGUUACUAAGUCAGAGGUGAAAGCCUGGAGCUCAACUCCAGAACUGCCUUUGAUACUGGAAGUCUUGAGUUCGGGAGAGGUGAGUGGAACUGCGAGUGUAGAGGUGAAAUUCGUAGAUAUUCGCAAGAACACCAGUGGCGAAGGCGGCUCACUGGCCCGAUACUGACGCUGAGGCACGAAAGCGU